rnacentral:rRNA from 1 species
CUUUAUGCAAGGCNGACGUCGGGUAGCCGACCUGCAGAGGGUGACCGGCCACACUGGGACUGAGACACGGCCCAGACUCCUACGGGAGGCAGCAGUGGGGAAUAUUGCACAAUGGGCGAAAGCCUGAUGCAGCGACGCCGCGUGCGGGAUGACGGCCUUCGGGUUGUAAACCGCUUUUGACAGGGACGAAGCGCAAGUGACUGUACCUGUAGAAUAAGGACCGGCCAACUACGUGCCAGCAGCCGCGGUAAUACGUAGGGUCCGAGCGUUGUCCGGAAUUACUGGGCGUAAAGAGCUUGUAGGCGGUUCGUCGCGUCGUUUGUGAAAACUUGGGGCUCAACCUUAAGCUUGCAGGCGAUACGGGCGGACUAGAGUACUUCAGGGGAGACUGGAAUUCCUGGUGUAGCGGUGAAAUGCGCAGAUAUCAGGAGGAACACCGGUGGCGAAGGCGGGUCUCUGGGAAGUAACUGACGCUGAGAAGCGAAAGCAUGGGUAGCAAACAGGAUUAGAUACCCUGGUAGUCCAUGCCGUAAACGGUGGGUACUAGGUGUGGGGCUCCUUCCACGGACUACNCGUGCCGGGAUUAGCUAGUACGCAUC